CCUACGGGAGGCAGCAGUGGGGAAUUUUGGACAAUGGGGGCAACCCUGAUCCAGCCAUGCCGCGUGAGUGAAGAAGGCCUUCGGGUUGUAAAGCUCUUUCGGCGGGGAAGAAAUGGCAACGGCUAAUAUCCGUUGUUGAUGACGGUACCCGCAUAAGAAGCACCGGCUAACUACGUGCCAGCAGCCGCGGUAAU
rnacentral:rRNA from 1 species